rnacentral:lncRNA from 1 species
GUUUGGUUCGCCCCUUUUUCACCAUGGAAACGGAAUGUGAAUGGACGAAUCGAUUUGUCCGUAUUUGGUAUGCGGGAUUUUCAUUCUGAUUUUGAUUCUCCGGUGAAUCAGAAUCUCCCCAAUUACCAACUUUUCCAAUCCGGCCUAGGAGACCGGAUUGGAAAUUGAAUCCGGACAUAAUGGAUUUGUUUGGAUUAAAACAUAAGUUUAAGUUUAAAAAUUAUAUUUAUAAAUUUAAAUUUUAAUUUGCACUUAAAUUAAAAAUUAAAAUUCAAUCAAGCAUUUUGAAUCUAAUUUAUAAAUUUGAAUUUGAAUUUAAAUUUAAUUUUAAAAUCUAAAGUUUUAUUCAAAUUUAAUUUAAAAUUUAAAUUAAAUUUAUGGAUUCAAAUUGAAAUUUAAAUUAUAAUUUUAAGUUUGAAUUUGAAUAAAUCAAAAUUUAGUUUUAUAUAUUGAAUUAUUCAUUCAAUUUCAAAUUUUAAUUUAUUUAAAAAAUAUAUAUAAAAUUUUGAUAUUAUUUUAAAAUUUUGACGCAAAUUUUUAAUAUUUAAUUUUCAAUUUGAAUUUAAACUAAUAUAUUAUAAAGAUAAAAUUAGUAUAUUAAUUUGAUUAUAUUUUUAAUAUCUAUUUGAACCAAACACCGAUAAUGAAAAUAGUUCAUUCCAAUUUCGAUUCAGGUGGCGAACCAAACAGAAUGAGGUAAUGGAUCAUUCUGAUUCCAUUUCUAUCUUAUUCUCAUUUCGAUUCUGUUACCGAUUCCGACUUUGAACCAAACACAUCCUUACUUUCUAGCAGUAGGAUUAGACCGAUUCUGACUUCGAACUAAACACACCCUUAGUUUCUAGCAGCAGGAUUAGACCCUAAAUCAGGGUACACCUCUAGUUCGCAACUCAAAACAGCACUCCAAGCCCUUUAGCUACAAUUUGAAUCCAAAAAGGGCUAGAAGCCCGAAUCAACAUCCAAAAUUCAGCACUACAGCACUUCAAAUUCAGUUGAGCUAAAAUCUAAAAAUUCUAACAUGUAAAUCCAGUGGAAAGGAGUCUAAAACUUCCAAAAAUGAGGAAAGAAUCCAUUCAAAUGUGAAAAUCAACUCUCCAACAAAAUCUGGAUUCAAAAUUCCAUCAAAAUCAAGUGAAGACCCCAAAACUGUACUAUUACAUAACAAUUCAAAAUUCUGAAUAUUUCUCAACUUCAAAUUUGAAAAU